rnacentral:rRNA from 1 species
UUGGUUAAGUUAGAAAGGGCGCACGGUGGAUGCCUUGGCACUAGGAGCCGAAGAAGGACGGGACUAACACCGAUAUGCUUUGGGGAGCUGUACGUAAGCGUUGAUCCAGAGAUUUCCGAAUGGGGGAACCCACUAUCUUUAGUCGGAUAGUAUCCUUACGUGAAUACAUAGCGUAAGGAAGGCAGACCCAGGGAACUGAAACAUCUAAGUACCUGGAGGAAGAGAAAGAAAAAUCGAUUUCCUGAGUAGCGGCGAGCGAAACGGAAAGAGCCCAAACCAAGAAGCUUGCUUCUUGGGGUUGUAGGACACUCUAUACGGAGUUACAAAAGAAAGUUAUAAAUGAAGCGGUCUGGAAAGGCCCGCCAAAGACGGUAACAGCCCGGUAGUUGAAAUGGCUUUCCCUCCAGAGUGGAUCCUGAGUACGGCGGAACACGUGAAAUUCCGUCGGAAUCCGGGAGGACCAUCUCCCAAGGCUAAAUACUCCCUAGUGACCGAUAGUGAACCAGUACCGUGAGGGAAAGGUGAAAAGCACCCCGGAAGGGGAGUGAAACAGUUCCUGAAACCGUGUGCCUACAAGUAGUUAGAGCCCGUUAAUGGGUGAUAGCGUGCCUUUUGUAGAAUGAACCGGCGAGUUACGAUUUGUUGCAAGGUUAAGCGGAAAAAGCGGAGCCGUAGCGAAAGCGAGUCUGAAUAGGGCGCAUAAGUAACAGGUCGUAGACCCGAAACCAGGUGAUCUACCCAUGUCCAGGAUGAAGGUAAGGUAAUACUUACUGGAGGUCCGAACCCACGCACGUUGAAAAGUGCGGGGAUGAGGUGUGGGUAGCGGAGAAAUUCCAAUCGAACUUGGAGAUAGCUGGUUCUCUCCGAAAUAGCUUUAGGGCUAGCCUCGAGGUAAAGAGUCAUGGAGGUAGAGCACUGUUUGGACUAGGGGCCCUUCUCGGGUUACCGAAUUCAGAUAAACUCCGAAUGCCAUGUACUUAUACUCGGGAGUCAGACUGCGAGUGAUAAGAUCCGUAGUCGAAAGGGAAACAGCCCAGACCACCAGUUAAGGUCCCCAAAUAUAUGUUAAGUGGAAAAGGAUGUGGGGUUGCUUAGACAACCAGGAUGUUGGCUUAGAAGCAGCCACCAUUGAAAGAGUGCGUAAUAGCUCACUGGUCGAGUGACCCCGCGCCGAAAAUGUACCGGGGCUAAACAUAUUACCG